GUAGGAGUAGCUCUGUGGUAGAGCACGUGCUCAGCCUGCAUGAGGUCCCGGGUUCAAUUCCCAGUCUCUGUA
rnacentral:tRNA from 1 species